AAGACUAUACCUCUCAGGAUCAUUUCUGUAGUCAGUCUUCAUUUACUUUCUGUGAAAAUCGACCCGCGAUGACGAGGUAUAGCGUUUUAUCCGACAGCGUGAGGUUUAUGGACUUCAUUUCCAAUUUUUGUUUUGUGGCAUAAUAGAAAUGAUGUUUCUUCGAAGAUCGCUCGGUUACAACAGAUAAAACGACGUCUGAGUGGU